CGCGAAUUCCACACCCGGAAGCAAAUCUGGAGAGCUGGUUUUGUUGUUGUUGUUUGUUUGUUUGUUUGUUUUUUUGUUUUUUUUAAACCGUCUCUCAGAGGCUGACGCAGUGACCAAUCAGCAGAGACUGGGAAAAAAGAUGGAAUGACGUCUCCUAGGGGCGGAGCCAAGGCCGCUUAGGGGGCGGGCAUUUGAAACCGGUGCUUCAUAGUCGACCCCAAAUAUCAUCUUGUGCCGUUGAGAACCAAUUACUUAAUCUCUUUUGCGUCUUUUCCUUUCCCGACCCCCUCCCAGACUCUUUCGCUGCGGUUCUGCGGGGACGGAAGGCGCCAGGAGCCGGUCCGCGUCUCGCAAGCGUGAGAUGUGAGGAGAGCUUGGCAACUGACCGAUCCAACGGCUCCUGCUCCUCAGUAGACCCCGCAGCCUAGGGACUAGAGUUGUCACUUAAGUGGAUAUGAAGAAGGCGCAAUUAAGUACGGGGGCAGCCACGAGCUUUCCAAAGUGACAUUUACAAAUAAAGCGACCACAGAUAUUCUUAGAAAUGCAGAGAAGUGUGCACGUGCAUUUCAUGUGAGCCACAUCAGCGGAGGGGAGAUCUCUUCUGUGGAAUGCCUCCAUGCCUGAUAUUGUCCAGCAUCUCACUGUCACCUGACCUGGCAGUGUGUGCAGUGACUUGUCAUUAAUAUUGUGACUGUGAUUCCUUGAUGUCUAAUUGAUGUAAUCAUCUAUGUGGAGUGUGGGGUGUAUGUGCGUGUGUGUGUGUGUGUGUGUGUGUGUGUGAGCACGCACACUCACACUACUUUCCUAUGAAUUGUGUUUUCCUUACAGAUUUUUGAGUUCUUAAUGCUAUGGGUAGUGAGUAGUUCCUGCUCCUCACCGCACAUAUCACUUCCUACUUCUUAGCUUCUCAUUUGAAAAUAUCUAAUACUGAUUUUGAUAUGUGAAAAUCUUCUACUUGGGGGUUCAAUUUACGAGUCCUUUUUCUUAAGUGUGUGCUAUUUUUUACUUGAGAAUGUUCUUACUUUGAAAUCAUACUCAUAUUCUGUUAUUACCUUCUAAAAGCUUCUCAGGCCACCAUGCAUUCAUUUUAUCCACAAUGCGCUGGUGCUGUCUUGACAUCUAGUUAAACAAUUCUUACUAAUUCUUCCUCUUGUCCAAGAUCUCUUUGCCCUUCAUAUAUUCAGGAGCUAACUGUCAAGUUCUGUACACUUGGAAAUUUAAUUGAAAUAACAUUAUAUUUGCAAGGACUGAUGUUUUUAUAGUAGCGAGUCUUUAGAUUUAGAAAUGAAAUACAUAUUUUUUCUUUUUUUUUAUUUAAUCAUUCUAUUCCUUUACAUCUCGAAUACUAUCCCUCUUCCUGGUUACUCCUCCACAACUCCUCCAUCCCUCAUCCGCUGCUGUCUCUCCCCUCUCCUUUGCCUCUAUGAGGAUGCUGCACCACCCACCCACCCACCCACCACUCCAGCAUCCCCCUACGCUGGGGCUUCAAACCUCUACAAUUACCAAGGGCCUCCCCUCCCACUGAUGUCAGACAAGGCCAUCCUGUACUACAUAUGUAUCUGGAACCAUGGAUUCCUGCCUGUACACUCCUUGGUUGGUGGUCUAGUCCCUGGGAACACUGGAUGGUCCGGCCAGCCAACAUAGGUCUUCCUAUGGGGGUUCCAAUCCCCCUCUGCUCCUCCAGUCCUUCUGCCAGCUCCCCCACUGAGGACCCCUGAGCUCAGUCUGAUGGUUGGCUCCAAGCGUCCACAUCUGCAUUGAUCAGUUGUUGGCUGAACCUCCCAGGGAACUGCCACACCUGUUUCUGUCAGCAAGCGCCUCUUGACAACAGCAACAGUGUCAAAGUUUGGUGUCUGGACAGGAUGGAUCCCCAGGUGGGAAGUCCCUGGAUGGCCUUUCCUUCAGUCUCUGCUCCAUUAUUUUUGUCCUUAUCUUUCCUCUUUUCAUUUAUUAAGGUCGUCUUUGUUUUCUAAAGUAUGUCAGUAUACUAUUUUUUCUGAUAUAUUGAAUAUAUUUCAUAGCAUUCUCACAAGCUCUCAUAUUUAAUGCUAUUGUUGACGAUAUUCUUAAAAUUGGGUCAUUUGUAACUGAUGUACACAAGUAUAAUUAUUUUUAUAUAUACCUACUUUAAAUUCAGAGAACUCACCGAACUCUUCUGUUAAUUCAAGUGGUUUACUCUGAAUAUUUUAUACACAUGCCAUCUGCCAAUAAUAAUAAUGUUUCUUUUUUUUUUCCAGUCUCUUUUCACUCUGCCUUCCCUUUUUUUUGCCUUGUGUUGGUUUGAACUUCCAGGGCAAUGUUGAAUAAAGAUUCUGAUCCCA